rnacentral:rRNA from 1 species
AGAGUUUGAUCCUGGCUCAGAACGAACGCUGGCGGCAGGCCUAACACAUGCAAGUCGAACGCUCCAGCAAUGGAGAGUGGCAGACGGGUGAGUAACGCGUGGGAACCUUCCCAAUGGUACGGAAUAGCUCAGGGAAACUUGAGGUAAUACCGUAUAAGCCCCUAGGGGGAAAGAUUUAUCGCCAUUGGAUGGGCCCGCGUCGGAUUAGCUAGUUGGUGAGGUAAUGGCUCACCAAGGCGACGAUCCGUAGCUGGUUUGAGAGAAUGACCAGCCACACUGGGACUGAGACACGGCCCAGACUCCUACGGGAGGCAGCAGUGGGGAAUAUUGGACAAUGGGCGCAAGCCUGAUCCAGCCAUGCCGCGUGAGUGACGAAGGCCUUAGGGUUGUAAAGCUCUUUUGGCGGGGACGAUAAUGACGGUACCCGCAGAAUAAGUCCCGGCUAACUUCGUGCCAGCAGCCGCGGUAAUACGAAGGGGACUAGCGUUGUUCGGAAUUACUGGGCGUAAAGCGCACGUAGGCGGAUUUGUAAGUCAGGGGUGAAAUCCCGGGGCUCAACCUCGGAACUGCCUUUGAUACUGCAGAUCUCGAGUCCGAUAGAGGUGGGUGGAAUUCCUAGUGUAGAGGUGAAAUUCGUAGAUAUUACACAGAACACCGAUUGCGAAGGCAGCUUGCUAAACUGUGAUUGACGCUGAUGCACGAAAGCGUGGGGAUCAAACAGGAUUAGAUACCCUGGUAGUCC